AUCACACAUUUAAGUAGCAAGAAUAAAGGAAACAAUCCCCAUUAUUAUUUUUCUUGUUUCUACUUAGUCAUUCAAAAGACUGUAGAGCAAAGGCUCAACUCAAGUCUGCUGUACCAGUGAAGGUGCUAGACAAUACAAUAAACAAAGUAGCAGAAGAAGUUCUUUCUCCAGAGGAAUUUGAAGAAAGGCAGC